rnacentral:rRNA from 1 species
CAGCCGUAAACUAUGCGCGUUAGGUGUAUCGGUGACCACGAGUUACCGAGGUGCCGAAGGGAAACCGUGAAACGUGCCGCCUGGGAAGUACGGUCGCAAGGCUGAAACUUAAAGGAAUUGGCGGGGGAGCACCACGAACAGGUGGAGCCUGCGGUUUAAUUGGACUCAACGCCGGGAAGCUCACCGGAUAGGACAGCAGAAUGAUUGCCGGGCUGAAGACCCUGCAUGACUAGCUGAGAGGAGGUGCAUGGCGUAGACGUCU